UACAGAGGGUGCGAGCGUUGUUCGGAAUUAUUGGGCGUAAAGGGCGCGUAGGCGGCGCCACAAGUCACUUGUGAAAACUCUGGGCUCAACUCAGAGCCUGCAAGCGAAACUGUGGUGCUGGAGUAUGGGAGAGGUGCGUGGAAUUCCCGGUGUAGCGGUGAAAUGCGUAGAUAGUCGGGAGGAACACCUGUGGCGAAAGCGGCGCACUGGACCAUAACUGACGCUGAGGCGCGAAAGCUAGGGGAGCAAACAGG
rnacentral:rRNA from 1 species